UGUGGGACUCCAGCAAUGAUGCCUGUCUCAGAACGCGUCCAUCUGAGGUAGUAAUAAUCCAAACACAGCCUGCUCUUUUGUUGGUUUUGUUCCAUGAAGCAUCAGUGAAACAAUCCAGGCAGUCAUUAUGGUUGGUGAAGGUCCUGAAGGAUAUACAUCGUAGCUGAUAACCUGAGCGUUCGGUUGUCUAGUAACUUGCGCUUGUUGCCAUUCACGUGCCGAUCUGAUUGCGAGAUUAAGCGUGUCUUCUGUAGACUAUCAUAUCUGAACCAUCUCUACAAUCUGUUGAAAUGUGUAUUACUUUGCCAAAAUUAAUAACAUUAUUCAAUCCAAAAAUAUAUUAUAUAUGAAAAAAAAAUUCAAUACAGAACAUUAAGGCAUUUAACAAAAUCAGUAUGAGAUAUUACCAAGAAAAAUCAACAGAUUAUAUUUCGGGAAAUAU
rnacentral:lncRNA from 1 species